rnacentral:rRNA from 1 species
UACGGAGGAUCCGAGCGUUAUCCGGAUUUAUUGGGUUUAAAGGGUGCGCAGGCGGGGGAUUAAGUCGGCGGUGAAAUUUUGCAGCUCAACUGUAAAAGUGCCUUCGAAACUGGUUUCCUUGAGUGUAGAUGAAGUAGGCGGAAUUUGUGGUGUAGCGGUGAAAUGCAUAGAUAUCACGAGGAACUCCGAUUGCGCAGGCAGCUUACUAAACUACUACUGACGCUCAGGCACGAAGGCGUGGGGAUCAAACAGGAUUAGAUACGCUGGUA